AUUCAAUCGACAUCAAAACACUCUUUCACGGUUAGGAGUCUAUAUGGCGUCUAUGCUUAAUCUAGGGUAAAACAUACUUCGUAUUUCGGAAGGUCAACUACGCGCUCCUAACUUUGUGCCGCUCUCCAUGCCCUAGGCUUGAAGACUCCAUUCAUGUGGUCUCACUAUCUAGGUUGAUGACUCCAGUGGCUGGUGACGCUCCCAUUUAUAGCCGGCAAGCAGAAGUUGCAGCCCCGCGCCCUGAGGUGUAUGCAUAAUGGUUUGAAGAAAGGAGGCCGACAUUGGUACUUGAGGCCAUCAAGUUGAGGAAUUACGUUGGACUAGUGACACAACAACUCACAAUCCAAACCCUACUCAAGUUCUUCUCCCAUUAUUCCUGCCACACCCCAUCAUUAUCCAUUUUGGUGAGCGGAGGAGAACCAGCUAGGGUGUGAUAUGCAUCGCCUAGAGUGGCACCAUGCAGUAAGGUUCCAUUAAACUACAUCUUCAUCAACUACCCACCAGGCAAUUUACAUUAAUUGUUGGCAGGAAGCUUUACAGAUGUCUUCCCAUGCAACCAUUUGUUAGACAACAAAAUUAGUUGAUGAUUCCUAUAUAUCUAAUGAAUUUGGACAUUGUAUGUUAUUCCUUCCAGUAAACACUAAUUGUUAGGUUAUCUACAUGGUAGAGUGGUAUAUAUAAUAUUGUGUAUAAUCUAUAUUUGGCAGAUCUGCAGUAAGAUUUUCAAAUUGUUGCCCAUGCAAAAAUUAAGCUAGAUGUAUGGCGUAGUUGAGGUAUGUAGGUUCUGUUUACAGCACAUACAUGUACUAUGUUUGAAAGGGGAUCCAAAUCUAUGUUUUUUUAUUGUUAAACACACAUCUGAAAUUUCACUGCAAAUGUAACCAUGGAAUCCAUAUUUCCUAGGUUCGUUCCUGAUAAUAUGAUAUUUCUUUUGGAGCUCUAGUGUUUAGAUUUUAGAGAUGCUAACUUAUACAAAAUACGCUAAUAUAUAUAUUGUCACCUAAGAUAUUAGAAUGCCCUUUUAGUGAUUUGCAUAUUUAAAGCGGGGAGGUAUAUACAUUGAUAAUGAUCCAAAUCUUGUCAGCUAAAUAUGUUUUAUGAAAUUAAUAGAUGUAUGUGUUCCAUUAUGAGCAGCAGAAUGUUCAAUGUACAUGCGUGACACUAUAUCUACUUCUUCAAAUAGUACUCUAGACUAGGUACUGUAAAAAAACAUGUGAGAAAACUUAAUCACUACCAUACUAUUUUUAAGUAGCUUGCAAGUAGGAAUUAUAAUCCUUAUAUGAUAUUAUUACCUCCAAUUUCAGUAUGGUCGUGUCAUUGAUCACAUUAUAACUCUUCCUGCUACUGCAGGUUUGACUUGAAUUUUGGAUUAUGUACAUAUGGUGUUGUGCACCUCUCCAUAGGUUUCUACCUCCCAGAAUUCAUCUUCCUAUUGCCACAUAACCACAUCAUUUGUUUUUGGGAAAUCAAUGUAUAUAUCCAUUGUUUCCAUCUACCAUGCACAUGCUCUUAUAUUUGUUAUUUCUUCCAUGAUUUCUUGCUAUUCUUGGAUAACUAGAGUAUCUGAUUUGAAAUUCUCCAGUCUUUUGUAUGUUCACUUGCAUAGAUGGCUUAAUCCAGAACCUAAAGUGAAGACUAAAUAUAGCACAUAUACUUGGUCAUUUCUCCUAAGAAGAUUAAUCCACCUGGACUUUUAACCUAAUUCCAAAGAAACAUAUACUUGGUCAUAUCUCCUAAGAAGAUUAAUCCACUUGGACUUUUAACUUAAUUCCAAAGAAGUUCUGAAUGAUCAAGCAUGUUUGGGUUUUUAGUAAACUGAAAUAAUGUUGCACUCCAACAAUAAUAUUCUGAUUUUAUAAGUUAACAUGAAUCUUAGAUUCAUACCACUUAUUUUAAUCAUGCAUUUGGAUUAUGGCGACAAUACCUCUUCUCUGAACUCUGUUUGCAUGUUUCCAGUUGAAACAAUAACCGAAUUUGAUAGGUAUGCGACGAUUUCUUCCCUGUGGCAUGAGUAAAAUGUUGUGAGUUUAGAUAAGUAACCACUAUAUUAUUUUGUAUGUGUAAUUGACCUGUACACAUGUUGUCGCUCUACUUAAACCAUCCUUCUCCACUGUACGAGCCCGAGACUUCCAUUGCAACAAUCUAUAUGUAUUCGAGCUCCUCUCACAGGCCGACUCCUCUGUUUGUGACUGAGCUGUUAGAUUGAUCUCUCCUCCAAUGGGCACAACGGCUCAUUGGGCCCUUGACCCACGCCCUGAUCGGGGGCGUCCAGCCCAAGCAAGGCUGGUGGGCCCCUGUCAUGCAGUGCUAUAAAGAGGAGGUGGGGACCAGGGCACAGGGUACGAGGUUCGUCACCGCCACUAUUUCCCACUCCUAACCCUAUCCGAUCCAGAGGGAGGCACUGAAGCGAUGGGAAGCUUCACCGCCGCCACUACCCACACAUCCCCGUCGGCACCAUCGCCCUCUCCAUGAUGGCCUCCGGCUCGAGUUCAUCAACCGCUGGAGAAGGUAGGUUUACCGGAUUACUAGCCUACUCCGAUCCAAUGGAUAUAACAAUGGUAUCAGGCCAGGCUAGGGUAAGGUUUUCGAUACAAAGAACAAACAGAGAAAGAAAGAUCCCUCCCUCCCCCAGAACCCUAGACAGGGCAAAGAAAUCUCAAAGAAAUGUUGCGCCGCCGCACAUGGCCGCGCCGUUCCUCUCGAUCCCGAAUCGCAUCGGCAUGCCAAGGAUCCGGGAAGAAGAACCACCCCAUGGGGCAAAGGGCACCACCAGCGAGCCGUUUGAUGGUGGUGCGUUGACCUUCGAGGUGCUCACGCACGCCAGCAAAAAGGUCAGCAGGGGCGCUGCAUCAGAAAGUCUCUGGAUCUCUCUCUCUCUCUCUAUUGCUGCGGGGGGUGAGCAGAGAACUGGAAAGAAAGGGGCGGGACUCGCGGUGCGGUUGCUGAUUGGCCUCGUCGCCGGCGGCCGGGGCAGCCCGAACCCGCCGCCAUUCGAGCUGACAGAGCAGCAGAGGAGGACCCAGGUCGCGCCUCUGUCUCUCUCUAUCGCAGGAAGCGGUGGGGGAUGGGUGAAAUGGAGGGGGGAAAGGAAGAGAUGGUGGCCAGGCUCGCGUGGCGCGGUGGUGGAUGCCGUCGCCGGCGGCCGGCGCUCUCGCGCGGUGGAUGGACGGCCAGAGCGAGCACUGCAGAGAGCGAGGGAGUAGAGGAGGCCUCGUUGCACCGAUCUCUCUCUCUAUCACAGGAAGAAGAGGGUGAAGGGAAAGGAAAAAGAGCGCAACGGCACGGUGCGGUGGCCGGUCCACGCCGUCGCCGGCGGCCGGCGUGGGCGGCCGGGGCGCUGCCCCCGUUUCGCCCCUGCGGGACAGAGACAAGGAGGAGAGAACGGCGCGUGGGGGAAAACUGGCUAGGGUACGAUCGGAUCGAUCGGGGCAGCGGUUUUGUUCGACCGAACAUCGCGGAUAGCCGUCCGAUCUGAUCCGACGGCCCGAGCAAACCCUAGCUCGCGCUGGGCCUUAAUGGGCUGAAAGUGGAGGCCUGGGGCAGCUGCCGCUGCGCCGUCGCCAGCCGCCGCAGGCGCGCGUGCGGUGUGCUGGGCCGAGGCCGCGGCCGCACGCGCUGGGCUCCCCUGCAACUAUUUUUUAUUAUUAUUUUCUUUCAGUAUAGAAAAUAGAAAAGAAAAAAGUCUCUAAAAAGUAAAAUAAAAAGUUUCUGAUAUUUUUGAUUGUUCAGAAAAUAGAAAGUUUCUGAAAAGUAAAAUACAAGUUUCUGAAAACAAAAUGUCCAUGAAUUUUAUAUAGAAAAUAUAAAGUUCAUGAAUUUUUAUUCGGUCAAAGAACAGUUUCUAUAAAGAGUAAAAGUUGGUGAAUUUUUAUUCAUGAUUUUCCGCUGCGUAAAUAAUUAAUAGUACUCUUUUACGAAGAAAAUAAAAGUUUAGAUAGAAUUAAGUAUUUAAAGAGCAUAUUAAAGUAAUUAUGAUUAUGUUAUUUUUAUGACCAACAUUGUUAAUAACAUGAUCAUGUUUUAUUAUUGAAAAUAAAAGUGCUCUUUUAAAAGUGAAUAGAACUAAACUAAAAGUUUAAAUUGUUGCUCCUCUACUCAAAUUUGAACCAAUGGGAUAAUUUGUUUAGAGAGUAGAAAAGUAUAAAGUGAUGCUACUGAAUAAUAGUAAAAGUUUUGUCCUCCAAUUAAAUUGGAACCAACAGGAAAAUUUAAUUGGAAGAACGGUUUUUGAGAGAAGUUUUUUCACUUGUGGGUGAAAUCAAAUUCAGCUAGCUUCUGCUAUAACAGUAGAAAGAUAUUUGAUUAAAGUUUAAUUAUGGUACUGUUAUUUUCUGACCAACAUUGAAGAUGACAAUAUUAUAAUUCAAUGAGUCUUAUAGUUAAAAGUUCAAAUCACUGAUAAAUUUUGUAUCAAUGACCAAUUUUCAGAGAAUUUGAUAAAGAUUGGGAUAUUUAUAUUGCUAGUUUUCCGUUGCAAUAAAGUUGAUAAUGAUGAUUAUUUUCUUAGCAAAGUUACUUAGUAGAAAUUUUAUCAUCACAUUAUUUAUGAGUUAUAUGCUUUUUUUCAUUUCUGCCCAACGGUGAUGUGGAAUUAAUGUAAAAAGGUGAUGUUUAUUCUAAUUCUAUCACAACAGUGAUUUAGAAUAUAAAAGAAAGUUUCAAAAGUUUAAUGUGCAUUUUUUUAACUAGACCAACGUAGGGUUAUUUUUAUGCUCAUUAUUGUUGACUAUUGGCUAAGUUUUCUCAGACUAAAAAUUUUCCAUGCCUUCAUUCGUGAAAGUAAAUGGUUGGGUACUUGUGACCCGAAAGAUGACCAAGAAAGGUCAUAACGUGAGGGAGUAUGUUCUCUCUAAAAGAAUGGCCUCAAAAGAAAAGAGAUAGAUCAUUGAGAGUCUUGGUUGACGAAUGUCUUUCAUGUACUCUCUAUGAAGAAGAUUUUUUCAGCCAACACGAUUUGAGUUGAAACAAGCAACAUGUGUGUUUAAUUUGACCAACGUCGGAUCAAGCAUGUGUGUCAAAGAGUAUUCGGAUUUACUCCUAAAUUUGAUGAUUGAAUAUUCAGUUAAAAGAGCCAAUUCUGGCAUUUAUGUCCCUUACAGGGAAUUACCCGCAUGACGGGAAAAGAUGAUUAUGAUAAAACCCGCAUGGCAGGAAAAUUCUGGGAAAAUCCCUGUGUAACCGUUAUGGCGGCAGAAAUUUCUCAGACUUAUCUUGUAUGACAGGAGAAAGACAUGAUGACUCAUGUGCUUUAAUGUGUCCCACUCUGGGAGAAAAGUAUGGAGUAGCUAUUAUGCUUUCCUAGUAUCGAUCGUACAUCUUAGGUGUAACGGUCAUUAAGGACUCAAUAAAUCCGAAGACAAUAAAAGUUACAGACGAACCUAAAGAUAAGAAUGAUAUGCAAGUGCGACUUGCAAAAGUACUGAUGAUAAAGAACUCUAUUGAGUUUCUGGAAUGGAAUGAGGAAAAGGUACUCCCAUACCAGUUAACAGAUAACUUCAUGACAUAUGAAGUAAUCAGUUAAAUGAAGUAGAUAAUCAAAGUUUCCCUAAUUCAAGAGUUAUGAAUGGUUUUUCGAAUUUGUGACAGAAAAGUUCUUGCCACAUUUCGAGGGGGAGAAAGAAAUAUGAGAUUAUCUAAGAAUGAUGAAACUCCCCUAUACUUUAGAUAAUGUGAUGCACAUAAUGCAUCUAAAGUGAUCCAUAAAUGAAGAAUGUGAUCGUCUGGGGGAGUACAACGGUCAUAAUAAUACCCCUAAAGAAAAGAAAUACUUCUAUUCCGCUUCGAAAGCAUACUAAGGAAUACUAAGACGGUGCUUAAAGUGUCAUAAAGAAGAAAGUUUUAACAGAAUAAACCCAAAUAAUAAAGAUUAAAGAUACACCAUUCUUAGUGAAGAUGGAGUAAUUUGAGGGGGAGCAUGUCGUAUGACCUAUACAACACCUGUUGUUAGCUCUAUAAAGGAGGAAUGAGUAAACAUGGCUCUUGUGAUAAAGUUUCCUGUAAAACCUAUUGCCUCUUGGAAAUGAAAGACUAUACAAUUAAUGUGCCUCUUGGCAAUGACACAGCAACAACAACCCCAUAUGAAAGAAGUGCCAGUAUCUGAGACACAGAUGGUCUGAAGGAAUGAGAAAAUUCAGAUUCUUCUGAUUACUAUAAAGUCUAUGUUAAUGGAGGUUGAUUCCACCUCAUUUAAAGUGCUCAAUCGAGCUUUGAGAAGUACCUCUUUGUCUAAAUGAUAAGAGACUAUGUGAGAUGAAAUGAAAUUGGUGAAUCCCGAUGAUGUUUGGGACUCAUGAGUAAUUUCCAAUGGAGCCAAAACAAUCGGCUGUAAAGAGUCUACAAGGACAAUGUGACUCCAAAGGAAAUAUGUAAAGGUGUAAAACACGACUAAAAUCAAAAGGUUUUUGUGCGUUUUACACUGAAUAGAUUAGAAUGAGUGUUGGUAGCACAUCAUGAUCUGAGUUACAUCAGAUGAAAGAUAUUAUGAUUUGAGUUACAUCAGAUGAAAGUAAAGAACACAUGGGAUACUGCCCGAAGAAGUCUUUUAUGGACUAAAGCAAUCAAAUGUUGUUUUGGGUUAAAGAAGAUGAGAGGACAAUUGUGUUUGUAUAAAGUUAUAGAAUGGGAAUUUCAUUUCCUAAAUCCUGUACAUGCGGAUAACAUUCUACUUGUUAAUAGUGAUGUUAAUUUGACUGCAGGAGGAAAAGAAGUUCUUGUCCUCAAAGUUCAAAAGAAUGUUCUGGGUAGAAUGUCUCUCGUUAUAAGGAUCGAGAUUCACCGAGAAAAGAAUAAAAGGGGUAUUAGGAGUGUCGCAUGGUCAUGCUAAGGGAAGUUUCUAAAGUAUGCAUGCGAGAAAACCUAAGCUUAUUCUUAUAGUAAAGGGUAAUGAUUUUGGGAACAUUAGUGUUCCAAAAGUCAAUACGAAAUAGACCAAAUGAAUAUGAUACCAUAUGCUUCAGCUGUUGGAAGCUUAAUGAAUGCAAAAGUAUAACAUUACGGUGACACAGUUCACGUAACCGGGUUGUUUUGGUAAUGUCCAGUCCAGAUAUAGAUCACUGGAAUGGAGUCAAAAAUAUUGGCCUCAUGCUAAAAGGAGCAAGUGUUCUCGAAAGGUUGUGAAUACAGAAAUAGAACAUGUGAAAUAUACAGCGAAAUCCACAAUUGUCGCUGACUUCCACACUUGGAGUUUUUGUGUGGAAAAACUCUAAAGAAUGAAUCAAUUAUCGUUAAUAUGAUGUAAAGAUAAUGUACAACAUGAUAUGAGGCUGAGGGACAUGCAAAAAGGUUAAGGACAUAUGUACCCGGAGUUGAUAAUGGUUGUCAACAACAAUAAGCAUUAAGUAAUUCGCUCCUAUGACAACGAGUCAAGUGUGGUGCCAAACACAUUGACACAGAGUUAUACGUUGUUAAGGAGAAAGUCCGGAAUUAUGUUGAAAUGCUUGGAGCAUGAAAGCAACAGACAAGUAUUUGCAGAUCUGCUUAUUAAUGGCUUACCGCCCAGUGUGUUCGGAGAACACACAAUCGACAUGGGCUUUAUGGUAUAUUCUAAGAUUUCUGGACAAUAAAAGGGCCCAAGGUUAAAGAAUCUAUUUGAAAACAGAGGAGUGUGUUGUAGGUGUUGAUUCUAUCGGGAAUGAACCGUGAUGAUGAGACAUGCUCUACAUGCAAAUCUGUGAUGGAACGAGUACUUUGAAAAGAGUUAUUUCAAAGUAUAAAGUUAAAAGUAUAUGUUGAGAUCAAGGGGGAGAAUGUUAGAUUGAUCUCUCCUCCAAUGGGCCCAGAGGCUCAUUGGGCCCUUGACCCACGCCCUGAUCGGGGGCGUCCAGCCCAAGCAAGGCUGCUGGGCCCCUGUCGCGCAGUGCUAUAAAGAGGAGGUGGGGACCAGGGCACAAGGUACGAGGUUCGUCACCGCCACUGUUUCCCACUCCUAACCCUAUCCGAUCCAGAGGGAGGCACUGAAGCGAUGGGAAGCUUCACCGCCGCCACUACCCACACAUCCCCGUCGCCACCAACGCCCUCUCCACGAUGGCCUCCGGCUUGAGUUCAUCAACCGCUGGAGAAGUCUGUAUCUUUUGCUUCAUAAUUCACCCGUCCACAAGAAUGAUGCCGAGAAGAUUCUGCCUUCCAUGCUAAAUGGCAUUCUUUUUCGACUUGAUAAAGAUGAGAUAACAUGGAGUCUUCUCAUUUGUAGCGACAUAGAGAUAGGAACGAGCAAUUCAGCUUAACUUUAAGAAAGUGACGGACAAAGGAGAACUGUAUUGUUGCUGAGAGCUAGGUCUGGACGCAUGAUCCCCUAUAUGUAUAUAGUUUUUAGCGAUAAAUGUAUCCUGAUUGGUAUAGAACAAUUGACAGUCUUGGUUUCAUCUGAUCUCUUAAUUUGAACAUGAAUUAGAGAGGGGAAUAUGUACUACGUUUGGAAUCUAUCAUACUAAAUGUGCAUUUGUGCUAUUAAUGUACAGUAUUAAAUAAAGUUACAUUUUCUA